GGGAGCUUCAAGUCAAGUCACCGCUGCGUCCCGGCCUCGAGUUCGCGGGCGAGGCUGGGUCCCAAGCCCGGGCCUGGGGAAAGGGGCGCACGGCUGCGAGCCGGUCUCAAACAGCACGGGGGGUCAGGGGGAGGAAUUGCCGCUCCAGGAGCGACUGACUCUCCCUCUCCCGCUUUCAGCCUCUCCGCCUCUCAUUUCCUGUUUCCGUUGCCCUUCGCGCCCCCACCCUGACCCGCCCCAAAUUCCUGCGGCUCGCUUGGUUCUCUGCCCUGUUGACAGAGGAGGCAGACUCUGGAUCUGACCGGCCGACCCGAGGGCACCCCACUCCACGUCUCAGAUUUCCCGUUCGUUCCCCUAGUCCCUAGUACCCUUAAUACCGCGGACGCAUGGGGCAUCCUCCAGCCUCGGCAAGUACCGCAGCCCUGGGGACCUGGCGCUCCCCGCACCCGGAGACCUCUUGCCCUGCAGAAAAGGACGACACCCACCUCACCCUCGCAGCAACCCCCUUCUACACCCGCCUCCACGGAACCCUGAUCCUGGCUCCCCUUCUCUCCGACCCCAGGGGCUCCUGGGAUCGCGCUCCUCCUUCUCCCCAGCCCUCACCAUCCGGCAGCCUCUUCUGCCUCUGUUCCGCCGCCCUCUGGCUUCACUAUGGAACCCCCUGCUGCCCCUGGCCCCCUGUCUCUCCCCUCUGGGGCCCCUCUAUCCCUCCUCGGCUCCCCAGUCGACACCUUCGCCCCGCCCUGCACUUCUCUCCACUUCUCACAUUUCUCCUCCUGCCCCCUCUCUCUACCCUCCUCUGUCCCAUGACUAUGAAUUUCACAGAGAAGCCUGUUUAUUUAGGUGACACCAAGUGGGAGACACACGAAACCGUUCCCCUAGGCGUCUGAGACCCCAAACCGGAGCAGACCAUGUGUCUGAAUGCAGAAGCUGAGCCCCAGAGCCCAGGGCCCCAGCAGCCUGAGAGAAAGUGCCCUAAGGAGACCCCUGCCAGGUAAGGCCUAUCUCUGAGGGCUCUGUCCUUGCCUGGCGGCCCUCAAAACCUGGCUAACUGCUCACAGGCAAGUUGUGCCCUGGGUUUCCCCCACCAACUCCACACUUCACCCUGGGGGGAAGGGAAGGGUCACCAAAGUCCCUAACCCCUCCUUCAGGUGGGGGGCCUGUGCUCUCCCACCUCUGUCUCUUCAGCCUCCCCCUUCUCCUUGCUGAUCUCACCUGAGUCUCCCCUCCCCCGACAGGCAGGCGGGAGCAAAGGAAGAGAAGGCAGGACAGAUCUCCAGCUCCCUAUCUCCUGUGGGACCCUUUGACCCCUCAGCUGUCACAACUGACCUUUUCCAACUUCUCCUACCAGAGGCCCCACCCCCCACCAUGAAGCCCCUUUCCAGCCUGGAAUGUGAACUCCCCUUUCCGUGCCCCAAAUGUGGGAAGCGCUUCAGCCAGGGGGCCCGGCCUGACCCUGUACCUACACUCCCACACGGGUGACAGGCCCUGCUCCUGCAGCCAGUGUGGCCACAGCUCCUACCUGCCCCAGCCCCUGACACACAUGCCCACCAGUGUAGCAAGGGCUUCUCCCAAGAGCUCUGGCCAGCUGCAGCACACCACUGUUCACACAGGCACAUGGCCCUACGUCUGUGUCACCUGUGGAUGGGGUUCAGGAGCCACCCAGCCUCGUCUAUCGUGAGAAGACUCACUUAGUGAGCACGGCUUCCCCUGCCCCGAGUGUGGCAAGCACUUCACCCAGAGUGUCCGCUGAGCCCAGCACCUACGGACGCUCACAGGGGAGAAGCCCUACCUGUGCGGCUAGUGUGGCCAUGGCUUCAGCCAGCACCCCUGGCUCGUGGUCCACCAGUGGGUCCACCACUUGGUUCCUCUGCUAUCCCUGCCGGUCCACACCUGCUAGGUGUGCUCUUCCCUCCGGUGCGGGCAGUAGCCUGCUGCCACACAGUGCAGCACAUGAGAAGCCCUUCUUCUGCCCCCAGUAUCCCGAGGGCUCUGGCUACUCCAACCUGCAACACCACCAGCAGGACCACGGGGGGAGCGGCCCCACCACUGUGACCAGUGCAGCAAGGGCUUCAGACAGAGCUCAGGGCUGUGUGGCACCAGGGAGUCCACAGGGGCAAGACUGCGAGUGCAGCUUCCGGUCCAGCUCCGGCCUGGCCCAGCACCUGCAGGGCCGCUCUGGGGAAAGGCCCUUCUGCUCUGGCGGCUGUGGCUUCACUCAGAGUCCCCAUCGACCUUGACAACAGGCCAGGGCUGGUGAGGAGCACAGGGAUGAACAUGGAGGGGGGGACAUCUGGAGGCCAAGUCAAGGCCCCUGUGGGGAGCCAGCCCCCCAACUCCACAGCACUCUAGGAGGGCAGAGGGGCAGUUGGAAUGACUGCCUCUUUUGUGGGAGGCAUAAUGGAGCACAGCUCCCACCACACCCCAGCCAGAGCAACUUUCAGAGCAACCACAUUGGGUGGCCAGAGUGUCUCUGCUGGACCUACUCAAAGCUGGAAUGGCCAGGUCCACCUCACUUCUAGUCCAACGUGCCAGUUCCCCAGAGAGCUCCCGGCCUGGGAAAGAGCUCUCCCUGUUUCUUAGAAAGGACUCUGUACUUCUGAUCUUCUGUCCUCCGUCUGAGAAAUUUAACCAGGAUGUCUGGGUCCUACUGCCUCAUGGAUGGAUCCGAUUCCCUGGGAUUUUUUUGAAGGGAUCAUUUCAAAGAGAUAACUGAAUCCCCAUAGAGCUCCAUGACAACGCCCACCAUCAAAUCCUAGUCCCCCACUAACCCCUCCAACCCUCUCAUUUCCCCCGAGGCUUCUGGGUGCUUCUUGCCUCUGGUGCUAAAGCUACACCCAGCACACCUGUCUGAUGCUGCCAUCUCCCUAUGCCUACUCCUGGCCUCGCUAGGCCCUGUUUCAGGACCUCAGGGCUUCCUAAAACCUUCAUUGCACUUCAGUCUAGGAAUAAAGCCCAGAUGGAGGCUGCUCUUUCCAGCUGUACAGAGGCCUCCUAUUGAAAGGUGCAAAAGGGCAGAGGCAGGUGUCCAAGGAGAGGGCAGGGAUGUGGAGGAGAUGGAGACCGGAGGAAAAGCCAAGGGAGAUUGGAGGAGAAAGUGGGAGGUUCUGGAAUGUGGAGAAAAGACAGCAGGGCUGUGUGAGACAAGACACACAAGAAACAUCUCAGAAAAACUUAGAAACAAAUGUCUUCAGGUACGAACAUCCCCGGGGAACCACUCAUUUCUUCUUCAGUUGACAAGUUUCCCCCAGUGUUGUGAAGGCACUGAGUUGCCAACACAAUCACUUCAUGUCCUGCCAUUUGCACUUUUUCCACAAAAUUGCUUGCUAACUGUCUUCUUCGUGUGUUGGCAAACUGAUUUUGAACAAAGAGUCAGGAGGGAGUCCCACAGCAGAGUCCCUUCCAGACUGGUGCCCCGGCCCAGCCUGGCACUGAGGAGAGCACUGUCAUCAUUCACCCUUUUAGAAGGUUCUGCUGGGGGAGUCACUCCCUGGCAACACUCACAGCAAGUUUAUGGUUACUGUUCAUGUUAAAGGAUAAGGUAGACCUCAGCUCUUGUAUUAACUUCCCCCAAAGUAUACUCUUUAGAACUGGGCAGAGUCCUCCCUAGGAGGUAUCAGAGGCUGAUUACUGACACACACACGAAGGAAUUAAAGAACUGGAGGGAUAAAAGGGUCACUGAGAGACUGCUAAUCAGUUUCACCCUUUCAGGAAAUAUGUAUUGAGUCCACCACGUGUCAGGGACUGUUCUGGGACCUGGGUAUUACAAACAGGCAUAUGAUGCAGCCCCCGCCUUCCACCGAUUUGAUCUAGGCGUGUUCAGCAUCUCAAUAUUGAACCCAGCAUCUAGUCCUAUCAAUUGUAUCCACUAUAAUCUCUCUCAAGUAUGUCGUCUCUUUCCCACCCCUCCACCUCCCUUGUCCAGCUACCACCUGGACCAUCUGGUUCUCCUCUGAAUCAUCGUGAUGGCUGGAGAGGCUGGGAAUGGCGUUCUCUGUGAGCAGCACACCUGAGUAACAGAGGCCUCUUUGAAAUGUAAAUCUGAUUGUUUCAGGCACCCUGCUUAAGCCCAUUCAAUGGUUUCCCAUUGAUCUCAGGUUAAAGACCCCAGUCCUUAACCUGGCCUUUAAAGCUCUGCGAGGUGUGGCCGUGCCGGCCUCUCCAGCCUCAUCUCCCACCACUCACUCCUCUCUCCCUCUCGCAGAGCGCUCCACUUCCUGUCGGUGUCCCGCUUCCUCCCGCAGAGAGCGGCGGCCAGGCUGGGCCCUCCUCCUGAGAGGCGCUUUCUUCCAUUUCUCUCUUAGCUCCUCAUUCUUCGGAUCUCAGCUCCUUUACCACAUCCUUAGGGAAGGUACCCUAUCCUUUCCUUCAGGGUCCAAUUCCCUCCUCUGGGCUCCCACACCAGGUGCACCUUUCUCGCAGGCACUUGGCACCGUUCAGUUCCAUAUUUGUUGGUGAUUAUUUGAUUGAUAUCUGUCUCCCCACCGACUGUAAGCUCCCUGAGGGUGGGCACCACAACUGCAGAGGCUCACUCUUGCUAUUCCCUGGACACUCCAUAAAUAUUGAAAUAUUGGUUGAAUGGGUGCACAUGUGCCAGGAUCUGCAGCAGGUGCUAGAUAUUUCAGGAUUUCAGAGAGGGUGGAUUGAGGCCAUAAUUUCCCUCCAGCGGCUGCCGCCCAAGAGUCCCAUAUGCCGUUUCCUUAGCACCAUUCCUUUCUCCAUGUUUCCUGGUGUCAUCCAUCUUCCCAGCUCCGCCUCUCCGGUACCCUCCCCACCUCCACCUUGCCUAGGAGAACCUUUCUCCCUUUAGUUUUUUAGUGCCCCUUCCUGGUUUUGGCUCCUUGGCUUCAGAAGCCAGCAUGGAAUAAUGAGGCAAUAGCACAGGAUUCAGAAACAAAAUAUCUGGAUUCAAUAACAAGGUUAAAAGUAUUAGCGGUGUGACCUUCAGCAGGCUAAUAAACCACUCGGAACCCUAGCUUACAUAAAAUGGGAACAACUUCGAAAUCAAGCAAGUUGGAGGAAUUAGAAAACCUAAAAGCACCGUCAUCUAGAAAUACUGGAUAAAAUAUGAAAAAAAUUAAACAUAUGACUGAAUUCUCAAAAGGAAAGUAAAAUUCCAGGUGCCAGAAACAAAGAGGAAACUGAAAGCUGGAGGCUGAGCUGACUGUGGCCACGGUGACCAGAAGGCGGCUGGAGGGAAUGGGUUCUGUUAACUCAGGGCUUGAGUGCUUCCAGCCACCCGGGGACAGGAGACGAGGUCUUGGUCCUGAAGAGGUGGGGAAAUUAGAUGAAAGGAGCCAAAGCUGACUCAAGAAGAAAUAAAAAACCUGAACAGAUCUAUAAAUUCUAAUAAAUUAAAUGAGAAGCUAAAAAUGUACACGCACACAGCACCUAGAUGGUUUCUAGGUAUAUUAUUCUGCCAACUCUUAAAGGAACUAUUUAUUUAUUUAUUUAAACUACACCAGAUAACGGUACAAGAGGAAAAUCUCACUUAUAAGACUAAAAGUCCUAAAUAAAAUAGUAGCAAACUGAAUCCAGUAAAGUUUGUGCAAGUGUGUGUAUAUGUGUAGGUAAGUGUGUGUGUGUGUGUGUGGGUGUGACCAAGCAGGGUUAUUCCAGGAAUGUACGGAUGAUCUACUUAAAAAAUCUGCAAAUGAUAUUUACAACACUGACAUAUUAAAGGGAAAAAAACCACGAUUGUCCCAAUAGGUACAGAGAACACAUCGGAUAAAGUUUAACCCUAAUUCAUCAUUUUAAAAAAAUCUAGCUAACUAGGAAUUGAAAAUAACAUCCAAUAUCAAGAUAAGAAUAUUAGUUUUUACUGUUUCUAUUCAACUCGUGUUAGGGGGUCUGAACUGGUACAAUAAGAAAGAGAAGAAAUAAAGCCAUCACUAUACAUAAAUGAUUGAUUGAUUAUUGACAAAGACAAUUUAUGAGAACCCACAAACAGAACCAGUACAGCCCUUUCUGGGGACAAGAUGAAUAUGCAAACACCAAUUUGCCUGUAUCAUAGCAACAAACAAAUGGAAGAUUUUGUUUUAAGAAAGUACCAUUUGUAAUAGCAACAAAAGCUGUAUGAUACUUAGGAAUAAGUAUAACAUAACAAAAUAUGUGCAUAUUUAUGGAGAAAAUUAUAAAAAUUUAUUGGAGAAUGUUUUGAAAAGACACAAAAGAAUGCUCAUGAAGAGGAAAGCUCAAUAUGAAGAUGGUAAUUUUUCUCAAAUCUAUAAAUUCAGUACAAUUCUAAUCAAAACCCCAGCCAGAUGUUUUAUGGAACUUGAUAAGCUGUUCUUAAAAUUCUUAUGGAAGAGUAAAUGCCCAAGAAAAGCCGAAACAAAUUUGAAGUGGAGGAAUACCAGAGUACUUGCCUUACCACAUAUCACAGCUUCCCUCUAAAGCUCAAGUGGUAAAGGCAGUGUGGUCCUCCAAUAGUGUAGACCACUGGUACAGGAAAGAACUUGUUGGAAUCAGACCCGCAAAGAUAUGAGAACUUGGCAUAUGACAAAAGUGUCAUAGGUCAGUGGAAAAGGAUGAACUAUUUGUUAACGUGUCAGGUUAACCAGCUAUCCAAAUGGGGAAAAAAAUAGAUCCCUGCAUUACAACAUACCCCCAAAUAAAUUUCAGAUAGCUUAAAUACGUGAAA
rnacentral:lncRNA from 1 species